CGACCGGAGCAUGCGGAGACCGCGAACCGCGCGAGUGCUAUGAGGAAAAGCCGUUGGAUGUCGGCUCGUCAAAUUUUGCCAAUUUUCGGCCGAAUUUUCGCCCUCGAGUCGACCAGCAAGAAGCCAAGGAUGUAGGACAAGCUGUUUUAUCCGCAAAUAACCCCAGACCCGUGCCCGCGGCUUGCGUGACAACAAUGCAACUCGUGUUAUGCUGCUUAGAGGAUGAUACUAACGCCCUGAAACUUGCGACCCCUGGCCCUGGCAUUGUGAUAUUUUCUGGUCUGAAGGAGGUGACAUGCCAGGAGUCCAACCCGCCAAACCCUCGCUCCCUAACCUGAGCCACCCCCGACCCCCGUCAAAGCUGCUUGCCAGGUGGCCGCGCCGACAGCAGUCUAAGGUCGUGUUCGCUCCUAUGUAAAAGGUUCUCAAAGAAAAAUUUCCUCCUGUUGUCAAUAUUAUGUGUAAACGUUUUUAUGAAUUAUUAAACUUAGCACCUUGAA